rnacentral:rRNA from 1 species
GGCCCGCACAAGCGGUGGAGUAUGUGGUUUAAUUCGACGCAACGCGCAGAACCUUACCCAGUCUUGACAUCCCUGGACCACUAUGGAGACAUAGCUUUUCGACCUAACGGAAGAAUCAGGUGACAGGUGCUGCAUGGCUGUCGUCAGCUCGUGUCGUGAGAUGUUCGGUUAAGUCCGGUAACGAGCGCAACCCCUGUCCUUAGUUGCCAAUUAUGGAACUCUAAGGAGACUCCCGGUGUUAAACCGGCGGAAGAUGGGGAUGACGUCAAGUCCUCAUGGCCCUUAUCGGCUGGGGCUACACACGUACUACAAUGGCAACUACAGUGAGCAGCGAUCCCGCGAGGUUAGCUAAUCUCCAAAAGAUGUCUCAGUUCGGAUUGUUCUCUGCAACUCGAGAGCAUGAAGGCGGAAUCGCUAGUAAUCGCGGAUC